rnacentral:rRNA from 1 species
CAGCAGUGGGGAAUAUUGCACAAUGGGCGAAAGCCUGAUGCAGCAACGCCGCGUGAGGGAUGACGGCCUUCGGGUUGUAAACCUCUUUUAGUAGGGAAGAAGCGAAAGUGACGGUACCUGCAGAAAAAGCACCGGCUAACUACGUGCCAGCAGCCGCGGUAAUACGUAGGGUGCAAGCGUUGUCCGGAAUUAUUGGGCGUAAAGAGCUCGUAGGCGGUUUGUCGCGUCUGCUGUGAAAUCUGGGGGCUCAACCCCCAGCCUGCAGUGGGUACGGGCAGACUAGAGUGCGGUAGGGGAGAUUGGAAUUCCUGGUGUAGCGGUGGAAUGCGCAGAUAUCAGGAGGAACACCGAUGGCGAAGGCAGAUCUCUGGGCCGUAACUGACGCUGAGGAGCGAAAGCAUGGGGAGCGAACAGGAUUAGAUACCCUGGUAGUCCAUGCCGUAAACGUUGGGAACUAGAUGUAGGGGCCAUUCCACGGUUUCUGUGUCGCAGCUAACGCAUUAAGUUCCCCGCCUGGGGAGUACGGCCGCAAGGCUAAAACUCAAAGGAAUUGACGGGGGCCCGCACAAGCGGCGGAGCAUGCGGAUUAAUUCGAUGCAACGCGAAGAACCUUACCAAGGCUUGACAUAUACCGGAAACGUCCAGAGAUGGUCGCCCCGCAAGGUCGGUAUACAGGUGGUGCAUGGUUGUCGUCAGCUCGUGUCGUGAGAUGUUGGGUUAAGUCCCGCAACGAGCGCAACCCUCGUUCUAUGUUGCCAGCACGUUAUGGUGGGAACUCAUAGGAGACUGCCGGGGUCAACUCGGAGGAAGGUGGGGAUGACGUCAAAUCAUCAUGCCCCUUAUGUCUUGGGCUUCACGCAUGCUACAAUGGCCGAUACAAAGGGCUGCGAUACCGUAAGGUGGAGCGAAUCCCAAAAAGUCGGUCUCAGUUCGGAUUGAGGUCUGCAACUCGACCUCAUGAAGUCGGAGUCGCUAGUAAUCGCAGAUCAGCAACGCUGCGGUGAAUACGUUCCCGGGCCUUGUACACACCGCCCGUCAAGUCAUGAAAGUCGGUAACACCCGAAGCCGGUGGCCCAACCUUUUGGAGGGAGCCGU